GGGGAUAUCGGGGUUGCGGUCUUCCACCGUCC
rnacentral:rRNA from 1 species